rnacentral:rRNA from 1 species
UACGUAGGUGGCAAGCGUUGUCCGGAUUUACUGGGCGUAAAGAGCGCGCAGGCGGUCGUUCAAGUCGAGUGUGAAAGCCCCCGGCUCAACUGGGGAGGGUCACUCGAUACUGAUCGACUCGAAGGCAGAAGAGGGAAGCGGAAUUCCCGGUGUAGUGGUGAAAUGCGUAGAUAUCGGGAGGAACACCAGUGGCGAAGGCGGCUUUCUGGUCUGCUCUUGACGCUGAGGCGCGAAAGCCAGGGGAGCAAAGCGGG